AUACGUGGGAGAUGGGGGCACUCUGCAAAGCGCAUGUGAUUUAGGAAGAAAAACUGAGGGCUGAUGCUAAACGCCAGCUGGCACGUGGCCAAGAUGCAAGCCGGCGAGGGGGGAAUUUGUGAAUAUUGCCCGUAUCGACUCAUCGUCAGAUUGACGCUGUGUGUUUGGUUUGUUCAUUUCUGGAAGAAGGUCAGUUCACUUCAUCCAACCAAGAACGGAUCAGGCUGUCAGUGUCGGUUUUCAGACUGUCAGAAAACAAAGCAAUUUCUCAUCAUAUGAAGACUAAAAGAGCUACUGCUGCCUCGAGACAAAAUAUUGGACCCCCUCUUCCUGCCUUGCACGCAAACUACAUGACUAAGCCUGCAUACAACUGCUUUUACCCUCAUCCUUUCCUGAAGUGGCCAAAGAUCUCCACGUGAAGAAAAGGAAGAAAAGGAGCAGGAUCUAAAAGGGGUGCUUUAAAGAAAGGCAAGAUCCACCACUUCAGCUCUGUCUCCUCAGACGCUUGGAAUAAUGUGAAUGUCAUUCACUUGCCGAGAUGGCAACCAUUACCAGCUAUGAGAAAGCAGAAUGGAAGAUUUUCAUCGAAAUAUGAAGAACAGAAUAAUUACACCACAUUUCCUUACGGGCUGAAGAAGAACCAAAUGGAUCUGAGCCCC